rnacentral:rRNA from 1 species
UACGAGGGGGGCAAGCGUUGUUCGGAAUUAUUGGGCGUAAAGGGCGCGUAGGCGGUUUGGCAAGUUUCGUGUGAAAUCUUCGGGCUCAACUCGAAGUCUGCACGGAAAACUGCCGGGCUUGAGUAUGGGAGAGGUGAGUGGAAUUUCCGGUGUAGCGGUGAAAUGCGUAGAUAUCGAAAGGAACACCUGUGGCGAAAGCGGCUCACUGGACCAUUACUGACGCUGAGGCGCGAAAGCUAGGGGAGCAAACAGG